ensembl:snoRNA
GUUCAGUGAUGUUUGACAAAUGUCUGACCUGAACUGCAAUGUGGACAGAUCUGUUGCUGAGCAG